rnacentral:rRNA from 1 species
GACAGAGGGGACAAGCGUUGCUCGGAAUCACUGGGCGUAAAGGGCGCGUAGGCGGGACGCCAAGUCGGUCGUGAAAUCUCCGGGCUCAACCCGGAGGAGUCGGCCGAAACUGGUGUUCUUGAGGGAGGCAGAGGAGUCUGGAAUUCCCGGUGUAGCGGUGAAAUGUGUAGAGAUCGGGAGGAACACCGGUGGCGAAGGCGGGACUCUGGGCCUACCCUGACGCUGAGGCGCGAAGGCGUGGGGAGCAAACGGG